GAGUGGCGAACUGGUGAGUAACACGUGGGAAACCUGCCCAGAAGCGGGGGAUAACACCUGGAAACAGAUGCUAAUACCGCAUAACAACUUGGACCGCAUGGUCCGAGUUUGAAAGAUGGCUUCGGCUAUCACUUUUGGAUGGUCCCGCGGCGUAUUAGCUAGAUGGUGGGGUAACGGCUCACCAUGGCAAUGAUACGUAGCCGACCUGAGAGGGUAAUCGGCCACAUUGGGACUGAGACACGGCCCAAACUCCUACGGGAGGCAGCAGUAGGGAAUCUUCCACAAUGGACGAAAGUCUGAUGGAGCAACGCCGCGUGAGUGAAGAAGGGUUUCGGCUCGUAAAACUCUGUUGUUAAAGAAGAACAUAUCUGAGAGUAACUGUUCAGGUAUUGACGGUAUUUAACCAGAAAGCCACGGCUAACUACGUGCCAGCAGCCGCGGUAAUACGUAGGUGGCAAGCGUUGUCCGGAUUUAUUGGGCGUAAAGCGAGCGCAGGCGGUUUUUUAAGUCUGAUGUGAAAGCCUUCGGCUCAACCGAAGAAGUGCAUCGGAAACUGGGAAACUUGAGUGCAGAAGAGGACAGUGGAACUCCAUGUGUAGCGGUGAAAUGCGUAGAUAUAUGGAAGAACACCAGUGGCGAAGGCGGCUGUCUGGUCUGUAACUGACGCUGAGGCUCGAAAGUAUGGGUAGCAAACAGGAUUAGAUACCCUGGUAGUCCAUACCGUAAACGAUGAAUGCUAAGUGUUGGAGGGUUUCCGCCCUUCAGUGCUGCAGCUAACGCAUUAAGCAUUCCGCCUGGGGAGUACGGCCGCAAGGCUGAAACUCAAAGGAAUUGACGGGGGCCCGCACAAGCGGUGGAGCAUGUGGUUUAAUUCGAAGCUACGCGAAGAACCUUACCAGGUCUUGACAUACUAUGCAAAUCUAAGAGAUUAGACGUUCCCUUCGGGGACAUGGAUACAGGUGGUGCAUGGUUGUCGUCAGCUCGUGUCGUGAGAUGUUGGGUUAAGUCCCGCAACGAGCGCAACCCUUAUUAUCAGUUGCCAGCAUUAAGUUGGGCACUCUGGUGAGACUGCCGGUGACAAACCGGAGGAAGGUGGGGAUGACGUCAAAUCAUCAUGCCCCUUAUGACCUGGGCUACACACGUGCUACAAUGGAUGGUACAACGAGUUGCGAACUCGCGAGAGUAAGCUAAUCUCUUAAAGCCAUUCUCAGUUCGGAUUGUAGGCUGCAACUCGCCUACAUGAAGUCGGAAUCGCUAGUAAUCGCGGAUCAGCAUGCCGCGGUGAAUACGUUCCCGGGCCUUGUACACACCGCCCGUCACACCAUGAGAGUUUGUAACACCCAAAGUCGGUGGGGUAACCUUUUAGGAACCAGCCGCCUAAGGUGGGACAGAUGAUAGGGUGAAG
rnacentral:rRNA from 1 species